UCGAGAAUCUUCGGCAAUGGGCGCAAGCCUGACCGAGCGACGCCGCGUGCGAGAUGAAGGCCUUCGGGUUGUAAAUCGCUGUCAGUGGGGAGGAAAUGCCGGUGGGUUCUCCCAUCGGUUUGACCUAUCCGCAGAGGAAGGACGGGCUAAGUUCGUGCCAGCAGCCGCGGUAAGACGAACCGUCCAAACGUUAUUCGGAAUCACUGGGCUUAAAGGGUGCAUAGGCGGCCCGGAAAGUUGGGUGUGAAAGCCCUCGGCUCAACCGAGGAACAGCGCCCAAAACUGCCGGGCUCGAGGAAGACAGAGGUGAGCGGAACUUAGGGUGGAGCGGUGAAAUGCGUUGAUAUCCUAAGGAACACCAGUAGCGAAAGCGGCUCACUGGGUCUUUUCUGACGCUGAUGCACGAAAGCUAGGGGAGCAAAGA
rnacentral:rRNA from 1 species